UACGGGGGGAGCAAGCGUUGUUCGGAUUUACUGGGCGUAAAGGGCGCGUAGGCGGCCACUGCAAGUCAGUUGUGAAAUCUCCGGGCUUAACCCGGAAAGGUCAACUGAUACUGCAGGGCUAGAGUGCAGAAGGGGCAACUGGAAUUCUCGGUGUAGCGGUGAAAUGCGUAGAUAUCGAGAGGAACACCUGCGGCGAAGGCGGGUUGCUGGGCUGACACUGACGCUGAGGCGCGAAAGCCAGGGGAGCGAACGGGG
rnacentral:rRNA from 1 species